rnacentral:lncRNA from 1 species
ACACCCUUCAUCUUCUUGGUUACUCACUUCAUCUUAUGAGAGUGGUGACUCAUGGAGCCAUUGUUAAAUGAGGGAAACAGCUUGGUUCAAAGGCCCUCCAAUGGGGACAUUGGGUACAAAGCUUCUUGGAGAUCUUCAAAGUCCAAGCCAUCUGAUCCAUUUGAGUACAUGAAUGACAAAAUCCUGCCAUGGAUCACCCAUCCAGAUCUUUGGAAGCUUGUUGAAGCCCUGGCACAUACAACCCGGAGAUGA